GUCGUGACUGCGUGCCUUUUGAAGAAUGAGCCUGCGAGUUAGCGGUGUGUAGCGAGGUUAACCCGUGUGGGGAAGCCGUAGCGAAAGCGAGUCCGAAUAGGGCGUUUGAGUUGCACGCUCUAGACCCGAAGCGGAGUGAUCUAGCCAUGGGCAGGUUGAAGCGGAGGUAAGACUUCGUGGAGGACCGAACCCACCAGGGUUGAAAACCUGGGGGAUGACCUGUGGUUAGGGGUGAAAGGCCAAUCAAACUCCGUGAUAGCUGGUUCUCCCCGAAAUGCAUUUAGGUGCAGCGUCGUGUGUUUCUUGCCGGAGGUAGAGCACUGGAUAGGCGAUGGGCCCUACCGGGUUACUGACCUUAGCCAAACUCCGAAUGCCGGUAAGUGAGAGCGCGGCAGUGAGACUGUGGGGGAUAAGCUCCAUGGUCGAGAGGGAAACAGCCCAGAGCAUCGACUAAGGCCCCUAAGCGUACGCUAAGUGGGAAAGGAUGUGGAGUCGCAGAGACAACCAGGAGGUUGGCUUAGAAGCAGCCACCCUUGAAAGAGUGCGUAAUAGCUCACUGGUCAAGUGAUUCCGCGCCGACAAUGUAGCGGGGCUCAAGCGUACCGCCGAAGUCGUGUCAUUCAUACACAUAUCCUCAACGGGAGUAUGGAUGGGUAGGGGAGCGUCGUGUGCCGGGUGAAGCAGCCGCGGAAGCGAGUUGUGGACGGUUCACGAGUGAGAAUGCAGGCAUGAGUAGCGAUACACACGUGAGAAACGUGUGCGCCGAUUGACUAAGGGUUCCUGGGUCAAGCUGAUCUGCCCAGGGUAAGUCGGGACCUAAGGCGAGGCCGACAGGCGUAGUCGAUGGACAACCGGUUGAUAUUCCGGUACCCGCUUUGAAACGCCCAGUACUGAAUCAGGCGAUGCUAAGUCCGUGAAGCCGGCCCGAUCUCUUCGGAGUUGAGGGUAGUGGUGGAGCCGAUGAACCAGACUUGUAGUAGGUAAGCGAUGGGGUGACGCAGGAAGGUAGUCCAGCCCGGGCGGUGGUUGUCCCGGGGUAAGGGUGUAGGACGCACGGUAGGCAAAUCCGUCGUGCAUAUAGUCUGAGACCUGAUGCCGAGCCGAUUGUGGUGAAGUGGAUGAUCCUAUGCUGUCGAGAAAAGCCUCUAGCGAGUUUCAUGGCGGCCCGUACCCUAAACCGACUCAGGUAGUCAGGUAGAGAAUACCGAGGCGUUCGGGUGAACUAUGGUUAAGGAACUCGGCAAAAUGCCCCCGUAACUUCGGGAGAAGGGGGGCCAUCACUGGUGAGGGGACUUGCUUCCUGAGCUGGGGG
rnacentral:rRNA from 1 species